AACGAACGCUGGCGGCAGGCUUAACACAUGCAAGUCGAGCGCCACGCAAGGGGAGCGGCAGACGGGUGAGUAACGCGUGGGAAUCUACCCAUCUCUACGGAAUAGCGCAUGGAAACGUGUGCUAAUACCGUAUACGUCCUUCGGGAGAAAGAUUUAUCGGAGGGGGAUGAGCCCGCGUUGGAUUAGCUAGUUGGUGGGGUAAAGGCCUACCAAGGCGACGAUCCAUAGCUGGUCUGAGAGGAUGAUCAGCCACACUGGGACUGAGACACGGCCCAGACUCCUACGGGAGGCAGCAGUGGGGAAUAUUGGACAAUGGGCGCAAGCCUGAUCCAGCCAUGCCGCGUGAGUGAUGGAGGCCCUAGGGUUGUAAGGCUCUUUCACCGGUGAAGAUAAUGACGGUAACCGGAGAAGAAGCCCCGGCUAACUUCGUGCCAGCCGCCGCCGUAAUAC
rnacentral:rRNA from 1 species